AUUGAACGCUGGCGGCAGGCCUAACACAUGCACGUCGAACGAGUGGCGGACGGGUGAGUAAUGUCUGGGAAACUGCCUGAUGGAGGGGGAUAACUACUGGAAACGGUAGCUAAUACCGCAUACCAUCGGAUGUGCCCAGAGUGGAUUAGCUUGUUGGUGGGGUAACGGCUCACCAAGGCGACGAUCCCUAGCUGGUCUGAGAGGAGGACCAGCCACACUGGAACUGCGACACGGUCCAGACUCCUACGGGAUGAAGCAGUGGGGAAUAUUGCACAAUGGGCGCAAGCCUGAUGCAGGCAUGCCGCGUGUAUGAAGAAGGCCUUCGGGUUGUAAAGUACUUUCAGCGGGGAGGCGUUACCCGCAGAAGAAGCACCGGCUAACUCCGUGCCAGCAGCCGCGGUAAUAC
rnacentral:rRNA from 1 species